CAAACCCACUCACAAGAUUUUGGACAGGCCGAGGAUAUAUUACAAGACACUUGACCAAGUUCACGCGAUCCCACUAAAACCGGAAACAUGUGGCUAGGAAACAAGCUCAUUACGACACAGCCACGCCUGCACCUAUAUAUAUAUAUAUAUAUAAUAUAACACACGCAAACACGCGCUCACACACACACACAAUUACACACUCACACAUACGUAUUACUAAUUUUAGUCUUAUCACUGAUUACACAAGAAAAAAAACCCGACGUUCCCACCAUCGCUUACAAUAACAUUACUACCGCUACCACUUUAUUGUACCAAACUAGUUUGUUUUAGUAUUCCUAUAUAAAGGAGGAAAAAUUUAGGAUGUUAGCUCAUUGCAUCAUGUUCUUCUUUCACUGACGCUUGGUUUCAAAAAAUUGUUAGAAAAACGAAAACGAAAGACAGGAGGAUAUUAAUCUGGUACGUUACCACACAUCAAACCAGUCGAUACAUCCCGAUAUUGAAACUACACCGAACGGAUUAAUUGAAAAAAUAAAUCAUUGAAUCAAUUUAACUGUUUGUUUAUGUACAAUAUACAUAAAAUGAGAAUUACUACAGCCAUCACACUGGCACUUUUGCUAGUUGUUAUUCACCCAAUCAAACUGUCGUUGGCGGCCCAUACUCCAUGUAAAGCGUGUGAAAUAAAUGAUGAACUCUUAUUCCAGAAAUCCUGGGUUUGUGGUGAAUGUGGUUCCUUAUACAAGAACACUGCAAUAGAGUACUGUUGCUUUUGCGACCAGGAAUACUACGACAAAUGUCUCAUCGCCUCGGGUAUCGAUAAGGACAGAGACACUAAUCUUAACCCGCACUAACAUUUCUGAACGAUCUCCUUGUUUUUUUCUGUUGGCGGAUUUGCAGAAUUGUUAAAGCAAAGAUUAAAAUAACUCGUUGUAUUUACUUCUCUUUACGUUCUGAGUUCACAUCCUGCUAAAGUCAACUUUGUUUUCCAUCCUUCCCAGAAGCACUAGUAAAAGACUGGGAUCAAUACAUUUUAAAGAUACUCAUCUCUCCAAAUUA